GCAGAGCAGAUAUUACGCGUUAAGUGUUAGAGGAUGGGAAGUUUCCUCUAAACGAAAAACCUGCAUGGUGUUAGGUUUGCGGUGUGAUAUUGUUUCCGCUGU
rnacentral:ncRNA from 1 species